AGGAGGGCAAUAAACACCCAAAGCAGUCCCUAUCACUAACAUUGGUAGGGCUGGUAGGCCUGAGGUAGAUCUUUAGCUCAAAAGGUGGCUCUCCAAAUUUUUGAUGGCAAGAGUGAAGAGUUACCAUCCCUGUGACUCAUCCAGGAGCUAUGACCAUCUACUGUGACUCAGCCAGUGGAAACAUUCUGUGAUGUCUGUUGCUAGGUGUUCACGUCCUAUGUCCUCACCCAGGAGGGACACUGGGCUGUCUCUAGGUCUUCUGCAGUCAGUUGCCUGCACUCUCUUUGCUCUGGCAAUGGGUGUAGCACAUGUGGUAGAGAGAAGCAUUUUGGCUGAAGAUUCCUCUUGGGUGGACAUGAUUUCAGGAUGAGAAGAGGAUGAACUUCUGGAUCCAAACAUCAUUAUGUCCCUUGUCAAAAUGUCACAGGAGCCUGAAGUGACUAGAAAAGCCUGAGGUGACAGAAGUCUUUGCUAUUCUCACCAGCAAACACAACCCCCUGGGAUUUUUGUAAGAAUAGUGUUCUAAUCUAAACUACGGUCAGACUGACAGUUAUUCCUCUAGAAAAUAUGGCUACUUGUG